UGCUGGCAGGAUUAACCUUGAUCUUUCAACAGAGAGACCUGUUAAAAAAAAAUUCGAGACACCGACAAACCUAGCAGGUUGAGUAGCUGCCUGCUCAGCACUGUGAUCACAGCAGCCCAGCGUUUCCAGCUGGACGCCAGGAAUCCUAGCCUCUGCUCCACCAGGGGCUGGGAGCCGACGGGCUGCUGAAGACCGAGCUCUAUCCCAGAGACACCUGAAAUGCACAGGAGCUCAUCUGGAGGAGGAGGGAGAGAGAAAAUCUUGCUCAGUUGAGGAAGAAGAAAAAAUAAAAGUUAUUUUAGUUUUAUUCUUGAGGAAGUUCUCCAUUUUUAUUUAUUUUGGAAUUUAAACACAACAGAAAAUACGAAUAUUGCUAGGGACAGCCAGAAGCAGGGCCAGAUCCUACAGCUCCACUUCCUGCGCUGCUGCUGCUGCUACUGCAGACGGUCAGAGAGCUGCCGUUUCUUUUGUGAAGGCACCGACAGUUCUUGACACAGAUUUAAAAAAAAAAACGUGUUAAAAAGAUGUUUCUAGUGCUGUUGAAUGAAUGUUAUGUGAAACGAUCACAUAUAUGUAAUUUACAUAUAUGUUCAGAGUUUAGCAUGUAAAGGGCUCAGGCCUCUCUUUUUCAAAGAUAAUUUACAGUUGGAAAUAAAGCAUCUGUGUUUUGGAAAGA